AUGGAAAUUAUGUAUAUGAAUGCUCUCGUGCAGUUCUGCUGCAUUUUGUCUUGGUCAUGCACACCCACACAUGUAGUGAGCACGUUGAAGUGUGUGUGUGUGUGUGUGUGUUGUAUGGUGAGUAAUAGCAGGGCUCAGUGGAAGGCUGUAGUGUUGACAGCAUGGU
ensembl:lncRNA